GGGCGUCUUGAAACGGCAGCAAAAGCAAAGUCCUCUUAAUCAGCGGGUCCAAGGUUCGAGUCCUUGUGCGCCCACCA
rnacentral:tRNA from 1 species